AACGAACGCUGGCGGCAGGCCUAACACAUGCAAGUCGAGCGCCCCGCAAGGGGAGCGGCGGACGGGUGAGUAACGCGUGGGAACAUACCCUUUGGUACGGAAUAGCCUCGGGAAACUGGGAGUAAUACCGUAUGUGCUCGAAAGAGGAAAGAUUUAUCGCCAAAGGAUUGGCCCGCGUUGGAUUAGGUAGUUGGUGGGGUAAUGGCCUACCAAGCCGACGAUCCAUAGCUGGUUUGAGAGGAUGAUCAGCCACACUGGGACUGAGACACGGCCCAGACUCCUACGGGAGGCAGCAGUGGGGAAUCUUAGACAAUGGGCGCAAGCCUGAUCUAGCCAUGCCGCGUGAUCGAUGAAGGCCUUAGGGUUGUAAAGAUCUUUCAGUGGGGAAGAUAAUGACUGUACCCACAGAAGAAGCCCCGGCUAACUCCGUGCCAGCCGCCGCGGUAA
rnacentral:rRNA from 1 species